CUAAAUAAGAUAAACUGUAUGAAGCUAUCACGCCUACGUGGGUCAGUUUCCAAAUGCCAUUCUUAUCUAGAAAUAUUUUCUUUUAAAGCUUGUUAAUGACUACACUAACAACUUGAUUAGUGGGUGUGAGGGAAUCGCCAACCAUGUAAGCACCCCUCUAACUACUGUGGUAAAGGGAGAGGAAUGAUUGUCCUUCCUCCACCUUAAGGGCGGUGUGUCUCGGUCACGGUUUCUCUUCCUUCUCCUGAAUCCUCGAGCAGCUGACUCCUCGUGAGACAGCGUCACCGCUUCGGAGCAAAGCCUCGAGUGCCUUCAUCACCAUUCCCCUCCCUCCUUGGUAGGGAUACUCUGCAGGAGCUGAGAUAGUGAGGCCAGCAGACACAAGGAGGCACACAGCUCUCAUCACUUGCCACCAUUACGCAUUUGUUCAGCUGUUCUUUUCUAUCGCAACGCAACGCAACGCAAGAUGCAGCGUGGUGUGCCCGGGAGGAGGCGCCAACGUGGAGGAAUGUACAUAUGCAACAACCGCAGCCACACUGCAGUACUCUUGGGUUAACCCGACGUCGAGGAGUUAAGAGCAAAGGAGCAGCAUGGUUGGGCCUCGGCCAGUGACGCGGUAGUAAACAAGGGUGGCCUGCACACUCGUUCAAAACACGUCUCGUAAAAGUCUCAAUUCAAGACCUAUUUCUCGUCCUGCCACCAGGAGUUAGAAGGUCAACCUCGAAGGGACCCUCCCACCACGCUCCCAGCCCGCCUCUACGCCCCGAUAUAUCUAAAGAAAAGAUGUUUAGUGGUGUGGUUGGAGGGCGGGGAACGAGGAUGUUGCUGCAUUGGCCUGGCUGGUGUGCGUGUGUGCGCGAGGACUGUUGUUUUGUGGCCGCUUUCCUGUUUGUGCAUGUGUAUGUUUGAAUGUAUUUGUUAUUCAUGUAUUUGUUUAUUGAUUUAUGCAUUUGUGUGUAUGUUUAUGUUACUCACGAUCGUGAAAUUACUUGCUGUAGUUGUGACAGUCAGAUAUUACAAGCAGAUGAGGAGUUGGAAUUCACGCGAUAGAUAAGAACAGGACCUUACACACACACACACACACACACACACACACACACACACACACACACACACACACACACACACACACACACACACACACCAUUGUUUUGCUCACUAAUUACUUACUCAUUACAUUUAGCAACCUUCAAUCUGGUAAAUAACACUCAAGGACAUUACUAGUGUGUGUGUGCGUGUGUGUGUGUGUGUGUGUGUGUGUGUGUGUGUGUGUGUGUGUGUGUGUGUGUGUGUGUGUGUGUGUGUGUGUGUGUGUGUGUAAGGUCCUGUUCUUAUCUAUCGCGUGAAUUCCAACCCCUCAUCUGCUUGUAAUAUCUUCUGUGUGUGUGUAUGUGUGUGUGUGUGUGUGUGUGUGUGUGUGUGUGUGUGUGUGUGUGUGUGUGUGUGUGUGUGUGUAUGUGUGUGUCAGUGAUCACAAGAAAGCCACAUUACCAUUUCCUGGUAUCAGUCGAGGUAUUUAUUUAUGCGUGCGAUAUUCGUCCCUUUCAUUAUUGUUGUUUAGACAAAAUAUCUGAUGACGUCAUCUGGAUUCCUCCACAACAAGCCUUCCUGAAGCUACUAAUCUGGCAGAGCCACUCAAUUAACCUCCCUUCACUGCACGGGGACGUAUGAAGCAACUCAUCAACAAUAUCUCCUAACAUUCAACGAAAACCUGAAGAGAUAUGGAACAGUUUUCUCGCCCGUCUAUCGCCGAGCGGCAGCAGGAGGAGGCAUAUGUGUGAAAAUAAAAAUAAACGGAUAUCCUGUACAGCUGUCUGAGGAAACAAAAUGAAUACCUUCUGCAGCUGUCAGGGAAAAGUGAAAUAAGAGACGGAAAAAUAUUAAAGUAAUCGUGGAGGUCCGGUUGUAUCUGUCACGCGCCACCUUGAGUCACGGAGCCAAUUAGAAGCCCAGGUAAAAUUACUAGCCUUGCGAAGUGGAAUAACCGUCCCUUGGGUGUGUUAGUGAUGUAUGAUAAUGAUGGCUGGUGACCGCGUGUGGUGGUGGUGGUGGUGGUGGUGGUAGUGGUGGUGGUGAUAGUAACAGUGGUAGUAAUAGUGGUAGUAAUGAAACAGUGAAGUAUGAUGUCACGUGCCGCCCACAUACUUUGGAAUCACCAAUAGCAUCAGAUUGUCUUCUUCCCAUAAGCCUGGAUUUGUUAUUGCCGUAAAUGCUCCCAUGCCUGUGUUGGAGGAGGCGAGCAGUGAUGUCCACCACAGAGAUAGAGUCUGUCUUUCUCUUGCACUUUAGGCGAGGCGAGUGGUGAGAUUUGCCAGAGGAUGAGAGAUGUCCUUACGCUGGUUCUUCUUUGCCCUGACGCCAGGUUAGAAUUUUGUUGUAAAGUUGGAGGAAAGCUGUGAAGGAAAAAAUGUUAUAAUGUGCAAAAUGAAUGGUGAAGUUUUCCUUUAAAGUAUAGGAUUAAAAAGAAAAAUAAGAAAGGCAUCGUUAUAUACAAUAAUUCCUUUUUAAAUACCCCUUAUUGCUAUGAAGACCCCCAGUGUAAAUCGAUAUAUCACU